CUAUUGUUUCCUUGAGACUUCUGCUAAUAGGUUACUACUGUUUUACUGCUGACAUUGUUGACAUUUUAACACAGUUUCUCGGACAAUGUGGAGAAACCAUAAAUGACGCCAUAUCUAAAUGUGACAACUUCAGACAAGUACCAAGAAACAAAACAGUCGUUGCUAUGGUUACCAUACGUCAUCAUAACAGUUUCAUGUCUAGUUUUUCUAGCCAUUAACUUUUGUUGUUAUCAUAGGAGAAGACGGUUACAAUAUGAAAGAAAAUCAGAAGCACUUGAGGCCAGGGAGCGUGUAAUGGAACGCCGAAUCAUCCUGAAUAUUGUUAAGUCAAAAUACAAGGCGUAUAUUGUAAACGAUACUGAUAAAAAUAUAGAAGACAAUUCUUGCGAUGUUUACUCACAUUCUAUCCAGUGUAUAUCGAACGCACAUGGAAUCGCCAAUCUGUGAUAAAACAGAUAAUUUCGUGUUCUGUGGUAAACGUAUUCCAUUUUUAACUGUUGCUAUUGAAUUAAAAAAAUCAUGAUAAAAUAAAUAAGGAUAAUUUAAUUUUCGGUUUAAAAAUAUAUCAAAAUAAUAUUUUUCCCACUAGUGUUACUAAGUAAUGAAAUAAUUGACACAGUCAUUUUAAAUACUUAUAACAACUCUAUAAAAAGUAUAUGACCAGUUAAUAAAACGUUUUAACAGAUUUUCGUCUACGUUUCAAACACAUUGAGUGUGAAAGUGAAAGUACACACGUUGUGUCCAGCUUAGGUAGUUAAUUCCAAUGUGCCUGUUAUGGACACUAAGUGAUUCGGUUACAUUUAGUCCUCAUAAUUUGUGAACGGGUCACGUGCUAUUCCCUGGAAAUCUCGAUUCAAGGAAUACAAUUUAUAUUUCCAUAGAAGCACUUAUUUACAUAAGAAUGUAAUAUACUGGCUCUAUUGACUGAUAUAAUUAACAUGAGACCGCUGUAAGUAUGAAAUAAAACAGCCAGUUAGUGUCUACAGUGGUUAUAGAUUAUCUUAAAAUUUAACGCCAGCGUUUUUAUUGAACUUUUUGCAUUGAACAUUUCAUGCAUUUCUAUCUACCAUUAAAGAAAUAUUAUAAGAUUUAAUAUUAUCAAAUAUUGUUAGCUUUAUGCACGAUAUAAUACACGUUUAAGGAUAUAGUUAAGUACAAUUUAUAUCUGACUCAACUUUAAAAACAUGUCCAAAUUUAUAUGGACUGUUCCACAAGAAUGUAUUUAUAAGUGGCAUGAAUCAAUUAUUUCAUCCUUAUUUGGUGCUCAUGCAGAAACUAGAAACUACAAAUUUAUUGUAAUCAAAUUAUCCACAACGCGGGAAAUUUUACAAUAUUUUACACAUAAAUGUUAUUUAUGUUGUCAUGACAACCGAAAUAUCAUAACAGAAGACAGAGACGUCUAGUGAAUAUGCAAAUUAUUUUCGGUUUGAAAGUCGUCAAAGAUUUUUAAAACGCAUCUAAACCUAACUGGUUAUUCUAAUAAAAUCAUUUUAUAUGAAUUAUUAUGACAUCAAAUACACUUUCUGAUAGUUCCAAUAUACUUACAUAUAAAGGUAUUUUGAAUGUAACCCUGGGCAUGUUAACACUCAGUAUUUCCAUUUUUGGUUACACAUGGUCCCCGUUUCAAUUGUUGAUGAUGUUU
rnacentral:lncRNA from 1 species